UGAACGCUGGCGGCGUGCUUAACACAUGCAAGUCGUACGAGAAAUCUUCAGCUUGCUGAAGAGAGUAAAGUGGCGCACGGGUGAGUAACGCGUGGAUAAUCUAUCCUUGAAUCGGGGAUAACGUUGCGAAAGCGACGCUAAUACCGGAUGACAUCAUAAAGGCCUUGGCCUUAAUGAUCAAAGAUGACCUCUACCUGUAAGUUGUUGUUUGAGGAGGAGUCCGCGUACCAUUAGCUUGUUGGUAGGGUAACGGCCUACCAAGGCCACGAUGGUUAGCUGGUCUGAGAGGAUGAUCAGCCACACUGGAACUGACACACGGUCCAGACUCCUACGGGAGGCAGCAGUGAGGAAUUUUGCGCAAUGGGGGAAACCCUGACGCAGCAACGCCGCGUGAGUGAUGAAGGCUUUAGGGUCGUAAAGCUCUGUCAAGUGGGAAGAACCUAUCCGGAAUUAAUACGUUCGGGUACUGACGGUACCACUGAAGGAAGCACCGGCUAACUCC
rnacentral:rRNA from 1 species